rnacentral:rRNA from 1 species
GUGGGGAAUAUUGGACAAUGGGCGCAAGCCUGAUCCAGCCAUGCCGCGUGAGUGAUGAAGGCCUUAGGGUUGUAAAGCUCUUUCAGUGGGGACGAUAAUGACGGUACCCACAGAAGAAGCCCCGGCUAACUUCGUGCCAGCAGCCGCGGUAAUACGAAGGGGGCUAGCGUUGUUCGGAUUUACUGGGCGUAAAGCGCACGUAGGCGGAUCGUUAAGUCGGGGGUGAAAUCCUGGAGCUCAACUCCAGAACUGCCUUCGAUACUGGCGAUCUUGAGUCCGGAAGAGGUGAGUGGAACUCCUAGUGUAGAGGUGGAAUUCGUAGAUAUUCGGAAGAACACCAGUGGCGAAGGCGACUCACUGGCCCAAUACUGACGCUGAGGCGCGAAAGCGUGGGGAGCAAACAGGAUUAGAAACCCUUGUAGUCC